AUUGAACGCUGGCGGCAGGCCUAACACAUGCAAGUCGAACGAGUGGCGGACGGGUGAGUAAUGUCUGGGAAACUGCCUGAUGGAGGGGGUUAACUACUGGAAACGGUAGAUAAUACCGCAUACCAUCAGAUGUGCCCAGAUGGGAUUAGCUUGGUGGUGGGGUAACGGCUCACAAAGGCGACGAUCCCUAGCUGGUCUGAGAGGAUGACCCGCCACACUGGAACUGAGACACGGUCCAGACUCCUACGGGAGGCAGCAGUGGGGAAUAUUGGGCAAUGGGCGCAAGCCUGAUGCAGCCAGGCCGCGUGAGUGAAGAAGGCCUUCGGGUUGUAAAGUACUUUCAGUGGAGAGGCGUUACCCGCAGAAGAAGCACCGGCUAACUCCGUGCCAGCAGCCGCGGUAAUUC
rnacentral:rRNA from 1 species